UUCAUUUAAAGCGAAUCCACUUCUAGUCAGACAUUUUAACGGUAUCUGUGACCGCUUCCUCCUCCCGUAAGAGUAAACAUUACAGGGGCUCCAAAAUGUAAAACAUGUGCCCCGUGUGAGGCUCGAACUCACGACCUUCAGAUUAUGAGACUGACGCGCUGCCUACUGCGCCAACGAGGCUCCGUUACGUCAAUGCGAUCGAACUCUCUUUGAAGCCAGACUAGGUGAUUUGUGCCGUUUCAAAACGUUAAUUUUUUCUCAAAGGACUGUCUGAAAAUCAAUCAUGUGAGAGCCAAUUGGGUUGCCUAUCACUUACCAAGAAUUCUACCAAGAUUUGACCAGUCAGAGUCCCAGCACACCGCCUGUCCGCCUAGUGCAUUGUGCAUUUUAAACCUUUAAACUUGGAUUUGAAGAUAGUGUUUGGUAAAUUUGAUGUUGUUCAUCAUAGUUUACAGCUGAAUGAAUGUGCAGCUCAGCUUUUGGCAGCUUUCAGCAGUAAACCAGCCACCACCAAGCUCUGGUCAACACACAAGACCAAGAUGACUUCACUGUGAAGUGUGUCCCCUGCAGUGCCACCCAAUCCUGCAGGAUAAGUUCAGAGGAUAACACAUAUGGAUGUGAAACAGACCUCAACACAACAGCAGACUAAUAUAGGUUCCCUGAAGGUUUCCAGCACAUUCCCACCUUGUUACAUUCCCAGAAUGUUCCCAGUCAUGAUGAGGAGUUCUUUAAUAGACAUGGCUGACAAGGCGAAGGCUGAGAGGGAGCCUUAUAAAAGGAGGAGGUCCGGAAGAGGCAAGAGGACAAGAGGUCCUACAGACCCCCACCUGAAUUCAUAUUUAAGAACCCCUUUUGGCCUCCUGUCCUGAGAAGAGGUAGAAAAGGAGGAAAAAGUUCAUCCAGACCGCCCGACCCCAAGAAAGCCUUUGUGUCCAAGACCCCCCACACCCUGAUCACUGCUGCUCCUGCGCCUCCUCCUGCCUCUCUGAACCCCAAGAAGGGGACCUCCAGGGGCGCCAGCACUUCCCAAAUGUGCAGUGCUUUUGGCAAACCCGCUUCUGUCCUCAGAACAAAACUUUUUGCAAGGCCACAUCCAGCAGGCUCACCGUGGAGGACUGGAUGAAGCAAAAUGUGCCCAGGACCACCCGCUGGAGGUGGAAGGAGCAGCAGAAGGCCAUCAAAGACGGGGUCGCCCAGCCCAGAAAAUGACGGACAUGCAACCUCUGCAAAAAGAGGACACUUUUUGUGAGGCCACUAACCCUAACCCUAACCCCUCUGGGAGGACAGCAGAGGAGUGGCUCACCGAGAUCCGCGGGGGGAUCACCACAGCAGACCUUAGGCAACAAAAUUUGGAAAGAUGGGGCCAGAGUAAAUACAAGCCGGAUGUACGUGCGAGGUACAACCGGCAGAGUCGGGAGAAGAGAGCGGAGGAGGCGUUGGCAAAGAAGAAGAAGCAGGACAUGUGAAAAAGUCGCGUUUAUAUUCUGUAUAUAAAUUGUUGUUUUGCUCUUGAAGAGAACAUAGUUUGUUUUUUGUAUCUUUGCUCUUUUCUAGAACUUGCACAAACAGUAUACUGUUUUGCUCUCGAAGUUUGCAUUUAGUCUUAUGUAUGUUUGUCAUAUGGUUCUUGGUUCGUGCCCUUUUGUUAAGAGCUUUGAAUGCCCUUUUUUGAAGGCACAUUUCACAUUUUGUGCGCGAAAGGUCAAUAAAGGCCUG